rnacentral:rRNA from 1 species
AUCAUAAUUUUCUGUGAUGCAUUUGCUUGUUUGGUGCUUGGGGAUGUUUGAGGCAGAUUUGUAACCGCCGUUUUGAGGCCAGCUUGCUGGUACCCAAACAGCGUUAGCAUCUUUUGUCUUGGACAUUUGAGUAUGGUUUACGGGCAUUUAUUGGUUCGAUCUGAUUGUAAGUUACGGUCGCAUGCGACACGUGCUUUUCAUUUAGAUCGGUCCAGUUAAUGCUCUCGUACUCGCUCCCCAUGUAAAAGCCGGUCAUCUAUCCGACCCGUCUUGAAACACGGACCAAGGAGUUUAUCGUGUGCGCAAGUUUUUGGGUGUUAAAAACCUAAAAGCGAAAUGAAAGUAAAUGGCUCUUUAGAGUCUGACGUGCGAUCUUGUAAAAAAGGGCAGCAUGGCCCCAUUCUAACUGUUUACAGUAGGGUGGAGGAAGAGCGUACGCGGUGAGACCCGAAAGAUGGUGAACUAUUCCUGAGCAGGACGAAGCCAGAGGAAACUCUGGUGGAAGUCCGAAGCGGUUCUGACGUGCAAAUCGAUCGUCUGACUUGGGUAUAGGGGCGAAAGACUAAUCGAACCAUCUAGUAGCUGG